rnacentral:rRNA from 1 species
UACGUAGGCAGCAAGCGUUGUUCGGAAUUACUGGGCGUAAAGAGUGUGUAGGCGGUGUUCUAAGUCUGGUGUGAAAUCUCCCGGCUCAACUGGGAGGGUGCGCCGGAAACUGGAAUGCUCGAGUAUGGGAGAGGUAAGCGGAAUUCCUGGUGUAGCGGUGAAAUGCGUAGAUAUCAGGAGGAACACCUGUGGUGUAGACAGCUUACUGGACCAUCACUGACGCUGAGACACGAAAGCGUGGGUAGCAAACAGG